GGAGGGGUCGCAUAGUGGUCUAGUGCGGGCGCCUGCUAAGCGCUUAGAAGGAGAAAUCUUUCUCAUGGGUUCGAAUCCCAUUCCCUCCGCCA
rnacentral:tRNA from 1 species